rnacentral:lncRNA from 1 species
ACCAAUGACAUAAGAUAGCGCAAUUGUUAAAGCGCUCUGUAUAGCUCUUUUAGGGUCUGGUUUCUCCAAUCCCAGCUCAAACCUGCAUACAUUGCUCUGGUUAGUUAAGUUGGUUUGAUAAUUCCAAAUCAAUUUUUAUAUUUUAUAUGAUUGAAAUCUUGCUGUUUACUAAUAUAUGUGUGGUUUUCAUUGUUGAAAGCUUCUUAUAUGAGCUAUGGCAAACGCAUACAGGAUAAUCGAAACAUUUCUGAUUAGUAUCUCAGACACCAUCAGGACAUCAACAUUUGCUUUCUAGUAUAACUGAUGAAGAGAUUGACAAAGGGAGUAGCAACAGUUGGUCAUAUUACCUC